rnacentral:rRNA from 1 species
UACGUAGGGGGCAAGCGUUUGUCCGGAUUUAUUGGGCGUAAAGAGCGUGUAGGCGCCGCACAGGUCCGUUGUGAAAACUGGAGGCUUAACCUUCAGACGUCGAUGGAAACCGUGCGGCUAGAGUCCGGAAGAGGAGAAUGGAAUUCCUGGUGUAGCGGUGAAAUGCGCAGAUAUCAGGAAGAACACCCGUGGCUAAGGCGGUUCUCUAGUACGGUACUGACGCUGAGACGCGAAAAGCGUGGGGAGCGAACAGG